AUGUUUAUUUCUGAAGACAACUUCUUUGACAUUUUUCUGCGGAGUUUUAGGAAGUUGACAGGACCUCCGAAUAAAGGUUCAUCUGUUAGUUGGAACCUGGCAUCUUUAAUUUGCUGUGGGCUCUCAAGGCAAGGAAGACAAGCUACUACAAAUUACUUUACAUUUCAGCCAAAAUACUUCGAUGUCGUGAAAGAAUAUGUGGAAAUAAGAGCAUGGAGAAGCAGUUUAAACCUCAGGACUAUUUCAAUUCGAGAAAUGAUCUGUUCAACUUCCUUCACUUAAUCCACUACAUUUUUCUCUAUCUUUAACUUUUCUUAUUUCUUUCUUUCCUGUUUUAAUGGAAUUAAUAGCCUUUUUCCUACAAAGACAAACUUUUCAUAUUACUCUUUUCCCCUCUUUUUGUUUCAUAAAGUUUCAUAAAGUUGAAGAGUAAUCCAUGUUAAUUGAAUACAAAAUAAAAAGUAGCUGUUAACAGCAGUCUCUAUUUUAGCAAUAAUUGGCAAAUAUAAAAAUAAGGUAUAAAUCACAUUAGCAAGAAAAAGCAAAUAGUAUGUGGUAAUUAAAGAUGUGCAAGACCUUUAUGAAUAAAAAAAUUAAAACUCUAUUAGCGAAUACAAGGCAACCUGAUGUGCCGUUAGUGAAUGGAAUGAUUUUAACAUUUGUAAAGAUACCAAUUCUUUUUUGAUAAAUCAGGUCAUUUAAGCCAAUUCCAAAAAAAUCCAACAGGAUCUUUCUUCUUUUUAGUUUUAUUGAGAUAUAACUGACAUACAAGAUUGUAUUCAUUUUCAGUUUACAACUAACUUGGUAUGUGUAUAUAUUGCAAAAUGAUUACCGCAAUAAGUUUUGUCAACCUCUAUCACCUCACAUAGUUAUAUGUGAUGAUAACUUUUUCUCAUCUCUUUUGAUAACUUUUAAGAUCUACUUUUUCAGCAAUUUUCAAAUAUACGAUAGUAUUAAUAGCUUCAUGACUAUGCUGUACAUUACCUCCCAGAACUUAUUUAUCUUAUAAUUGGAAGUUUUUACCUUCUGACUGCCUUCAUUGCACCCUCCCCAUCCUCUUAAUGGAAUCUUUUUAAGCACUCAGCACUGAUUCUAGAAUUUUCAUGCAAGUAUGAAAUAAAAAAUAGCAAAUAAUAACAAAUAAAAAUAAAAACAAAGGUAGUGGGAUUGUUCAGAACCACUCUUCAAUAUUAAAGCCUUUUACCAAGCAUCAUAUAGAAUAAUGUGAUAAGGGCCCAAGAACAGGAACACAGAGAAAAAGCCCAGUGCAACAAAAUAAGUAACACAGAACACACACACAUCCACAUACAUUUAUCUACCUAUCUAAUAUUCUGCAUAGCAAUGAUAGAGAUAGCAUCACCAACCAAUGAAAAAGGAUGUAUUUUUAGGAGAGAAUAAUGAGAAGAUUAGCUUAUUAUAUAGAAAAAAUAAAGUUAGAUUUCCACCUCAUACCAUAUAUAAUGGUGAGAUCAAUUACAAGACCAAACUAUAAGAUUAGUGGAAAAGCUAUAGGCAAAUAUUACAGUAACCUUGGAGUGGAAAAAAAACCCUCUUAAAUAUACUCCCCCCAGUAGAAGUCAUAAGGAUAAAGCUUGAUAUAUUUUAAUAAAGGGUUUCAUUUUAGUGAAGUAUUCAAUGGACAAAGUUGGUAAAGGAAUGAUGGAGAAGAAAAAAUUAAUGUUUAGAGAUCACACACACACACACACACACACACACAUGAAAAGUGGGCAAAGAUAAAAGAAGUCCAUUCACUAAAGGAGAAACAUAAACAGUUAACCAGUAUGUGAAGAGAUGACUAAACUCUUGGUAGUAAAAGAAAUCUAAAGAGAACAAAAGUAGCACAUUACAUUCACCAGCUUGGCAAAAAUUGUAAAGAAGGAUAUCAUUACUCGUCCCUCCCUGAAGUCAGCUGCUUCUGAGCAGGGCCCAGAGCCACUAAGACAUUUAUCUGGAUUUGCAAAUUUUGGUUCCUUAGCCCAAGUUAUGAGAGGUUCAGAAUUUGUUUCUGUUGUGGACGAGAAAAGAUCUCCCUUUAUUGGUGGCACCUUUUCCUUCAGAUAUCCAUUUUAUUUCUUCUAGUUAGUCCAUCAAUAAACAACUCCAUCAUGUGGAUCUAUGACCUGCUUUUAAAAAAUAGGAAGGAUAUUGUUAGCAAGGAUGUGGGGAAACAAAACUCUCAUGCAUAACUGGCAGGAGUAAAACUGGUCAUUUGUUUUGGAGAGAGAUUUGGCAGUGCUUAUAAAAAUUAAGUGUGUGCCUAGCCUAUGGUUUAACAAUCCUUUUUCUAGAUAUCUACCCCUAAAGAAUUCUUUCUCAGGUCCAUGUAAGGAUAUGUAAGAGAUUGUUCACUGAAAAAAAAUUUUUUUGUUAGUGGAGAGUUGAAGGCAAACUAGGUAUUCAUCAUUAAGAGAAUAGAGGAUAUGCCUACAAUGGUAUAUUAAGCAAUUAGAAGCUUUAAGAUUAAUGUACAUAUUGUAACACAGAUCUUAAGAACAUAGGAUUAAGUAAAAAAAAAGGCAGAAUGAGAUCUAUGGCAAAAUGUUUUGUAAAUUAAAAAAUAACACACGAAGUAACAAUACGCAUCUUUCGAGGAUACUUACAUAUGCAGUGACAUUGAUUCAAUACAUUAGAGAAAAGUUGGGAUAGGUAUGCAGAUAUCAGAAAAAAUAGGAGGUGUAACAGACUAUGAUGAUGUUGUGCCCUAAAAUGUAUGGCUAACUCAACUCUGCAUCUCUGAAGAAAUACACAUGUUCAUUCACACAAAGAAAAUUUAUUCAUUGGACAAAUACUUAUUGAGCACCUGCUGGAAGUGAAAGAAAACAUACCACCCAGAUCUCAGCAUACAGAAAAAACCAUUCUUGACAUUUUGUACAAUAGUGCUUUUUUCCCCUCCUCCUUUUUCUAUUUCUGAAUCUUUGACUAACAAAAAUUAAGCUUUUCUGUGGAAACACAUUUCUCCCUUUGAGCGAUAUCUUUCCCAAUGCUACAAAACCUGAUUUUUGCCCAUCCUAAAAAUAGCCCGUUCUCUUGACCAUCAUCAUCUGUCUUUCUAUUUCUGGUGUCAAGACAUCUUCAAAUAGAUAACCAAACUUACCUUCACAUUUACUGCUCAAUGUAGAAUGAUUACUAUUUUUUUUCCCACCCUUAUCUUAGAGCUGUUUUCUCAAAGGUAACCAAUGGUUUCUUAAUUUUAAUCAAGUGGUCUCUUUUCUGCUUAAAUAAAUAAGCAUUUAUUAGGUUACUUUGAUGCAUAAUAUGACAUGAGGUGCCAGCACAAGAAGAUUCUAGUGCAGUCCCUGUAUUCUAGGAGAUCUAAUGCUCCAGUUAGAAAAUACAUAUGGACAUGGAUAACCUUACUAUGAUGUUCUAAUUUCAGAGAUAAGGUAUGCCUAACUUGCUACUGAAACUCAAGUGGGACCUUUGAAUUCCGGAAGACUUUUUGUAGAAGAUUCAGUCUGAGUGUUGAAAGAUGAUCCAGUUCAGUAAAAUUAAAGAAUCCUAGACAAGUGAUUCUCAAACCUAGCUGCACAUUUCAGCUUAAAAAAUAUUAUGUCUAGGUUCCACCGAAAUCCAAUGAAAUCACAAUAUUUGGCACAGAACCUGGGCAUCUUUUUCAGAAGCUUCUCUUGUGGGGGCACCUGGGGCCCAGUCAGUUAAGCAUCUGCCUUCAGCUCAGGUCAUGAUCCCAAGGUUGUGGGAUUAAGCCCUGUGCAGGGCUCCCUGCUCAGUGGGGACUUUGCUUUCCUUCUCCCUUUGCCCCUCCCCCUCGCCCUGUUUAUGCUUGCUCAUUCACUCUCGAUCUCACACUCACACACACUCUCUCUCUCAAAUAAAUAAAAUCUUAAAAGAAGUUUCUCUUGUGAUUUUAAGGUGCAGCCAAAUCUGAGAAUCACAGAUCUGAGAACCAUAGAUCUAGACUGAUACAGGAACAAGAGCAAGACUACAGAGGGGUAAAUGGUAGUAGUCAUGCAGCUAGUAAGCGUCAGAGCCUCCAAUUGUGAACUGUCUCAUUGGAAUGUUCUUAACCACUCCUUGUUGCUGUUUCCAUAGCACCUAGGUAAUGUUAGGAUAUGUUACAUUAUGCUGCAGUUAAACAAACAAUUUAGUGGUUUAGAACAAUAAAAUUUUAUUUUUGUUUUCGUGGGCUUUCAUUGAAUGUCAUUGGGGAGGAGUUCCUUCUUGAUGUCAUUCUUACUCAGGGACACAGGGUUGUGAAGCUUUCACUAUUUAGAGCCAGUUGCUCUGUCAGGGGAAGGGAGAGUAAUGAAUUGUAUACAAAUUUAUAUAGACUUCCACCUACAGACCCAUGACACUUCUGCCCACAGGCACUGGCCAAAUCAAGUGCCCAUAUCUAACAUCAUGAGGGUGGGCAUGCUAUUCAACCAUAGGCCUGGAAGAUAACUGGGAUAUCUAUAAAAAUGACUAUCACUAAGCUAUAUGAUAUCAAAUUGAAUUCAAUUGCCAAAGGCGGCCAAUUACAUUUAUCUGAGGCUCCACAGUAUAAUAUGACCUGGAAAUCGUGAUUUCUUAAUAUUUGAGCCAACUAGGAAGGAUAUUCCCAAGGAAGUUGAAUGAUGCACUUUUUUAUUUUUACAUCUAAUUCUUCCACUUUCAAUUUCUUAAUCCAAGUUUUGGCCUUACCAGAAAAACAAGAGUUGGGUUUCCAAGAUUUCAGCACUUUCCAUAUUAUUCAGAUGGAAACUCUCUUUCAUCUUUAGAGGGUAAGAUCCUUGUAACAAUGACUUCUUGAAUCAGCCAGAAUAUGUAUACACCCAGGCACUAUUUCUCCUUUUCUAUUUGUGAGGAUGACUUCGGGCCAAUUGACUCACGCCAGCUUCCUCCUAUCUUUGUUUCCACAGCUUAGAAGUCAAAACAAUAUCUUCCUAAUCCUUUAUGAUUUCAAAGGGCUUGCCCAUAAAUGGUCUCAUUUAAUCCCCAAAUAAACUUUAUGGUGAAGAGAUUAUGCAAUCCUAUUUUACAGAUGAAGAAAUUGAGAUUCAGAGAGGUGAGACAAGGUCUCAUGGAGAUUUCUGAAAUAUUUGCCUCUUCUGAUAGCUAAUAGUCUUCUUUCUUAUC
rnacentral:lncRNA from 1 species